rnacentral:tmRNA from 1 species
AAGUGGAAUAUUUUCGGACGGGGGUUCGACUCCCCCCGCCUCCACCA